rnacentral:rRNA from 1 species
GACGAACGCUGGCGGCGUGCUUAACACAUGCAAGUCGAACGGAAAGGCCCUGCUUUUGUGGGGUGCUCGAGUGGCGAACGGGUGAGUAACACGUGAGUAACCUGCCCUUGACUUUGGGAUAACUUCAGGAAACUGGGGCUAAUACCGGAUAGGAGCUCCUGCUGCAUGGUGGGGGUUGGAAAGUUUCGGCGGUUGGGGAUGGACUCGCGGCUUAUCAGCUUGUUGGUGGGGUAGUGGCUUACCAAGGCUUUGACGGGUAGCCGGCAUGAGAGGGUGAACGGGGACAUGGGGACUGAGAUACGGACCAGAGUGCUACGGGAGGCAGCAGUGGGGAAUAUUGCACAAUGGGCGGAAGCCUGAUGCAGCAACGCCGCGGGCGGGAUGACGGCCUGCGGGUUGUAAACCGCUUGCGCCUGUGACGAAGCGUGAGUGACGGUAAUGGGUAAAGAAGCACCGGCUAACUACGUG